UACGGAGGGUGCAAGCGUUGCUCGGAAUUAUUGGGCGUAAAGGGUAGGUAGGUGGUCUCAUUUGUCUGGGGUGAAAGCCUUGAGCUUAACUCAAGAAGUGCCCCAGAGACGGUGAGACUGGAGUUCUGGAGAGGGUCGUGGAAUUCCCGGUGUAGCGGUGAAAUGCGUAGAGAUCGGGAGGAACACCAGUGGCGAAGGCGGUUGCCUGGGGCUUUGCUGACGCUGAUGCGCGAAAGCGUGGGGAGCGAUCCGG
rnacentral:rRNA from 1 species